AACGAAGGAACAUUAAAUUUGUUGCAGUUAAAAAGCUCGUAGUUGAAUUUCUUGUUUUUGGUUCUUGAUGCAAGGGUCAAACCUUUUAUCUUGAUUCAAGGCAAUGUUGUCGUUUGGGCCAUGGGAUAACUAUGGCACGGGCGAUUCUUUUACUGUGACUGAAGUGAAGCGUUCAUUGCAGGCUUUAUGCUUGAACAACUCGCACGGAAUAAUAAUUUAGAUAUGGAUUCUUUAUUGGUUUACGUCUGUAUUAUGUUUAACAGGAACAGUUGGGGAUACUUGUAUUUUUAUGCUAGAGGUGAAAUUCUUGGAUUAUAAAACGACAAACUAGAGCGAAAGCAUUUAUCAAGGAUGUUUUCAUUAAUCAAGAACGAAAGUUUGGGGAUCGAAGAUGAUCAGAUACCAU
rnacentral:rRNA from 1 species